AGCGAACGCUGGCGGCAGGCUUAACACUUGCAAGUCGAGCGCCCCGCAAGGGGAGCGGCAGACGGGAGAGUAACACGUGGGAACAUACCUUUUGGUUCGGAACAACUGAGGGAAACUUCAGCUAAUACCGGAUAAGCCCUUACGGGGAAAGAUUUAUCGCCUAAAGAUUGGCCCGCGUCUGAUUAGCUAGUUGGUGAGGUAACGGCUCACCAAGGCGACGAUCAGUAGCUGGUCUGAGAGGAUGAUCAGCCUCACUGGGACUGAGACACGGCCCAGACUCCUACGGGAGGCAGCAGUGGGGAAUAUUGGACAAUGGGGGCAACCCUGAUCCAGCCAUGCCGCGUGAGUGAUGAAGGCCUUAGGGUUGUAAAGCUCUUUUGCCCGGGAAGAUAAUGACGGUACCGGGAGAAUAAGCCCCGGCUAACUUCGUG
rnacentral:rRNA from 1 species